UGCUGAGAGGAAACAGUUUUGAAUGUCCCGCCCCUCUGAUUAAAGCACAAUAUCAGACUGUCUGUUAGUCAGGACUGUCAAACCAACAUCACUGUUCCUUCAGUUCUCACUCAUUCACAGUAAAGAUGACAGCACACGCUCUCAUUAUCUGCUCUCUACUGCUUUUCAUUGCUGAGUGUAAUGGACAGAUCACGGUCACUCAGAGUCCCUCAAUAACAGCUCAACCAGGACAACAAGUUAAAAUAAACUGUAAAACCAGCAGUGAUGUCUACCGGCACAGUAGUGUGGGAUACAUUCUGAGCUGGUACUUACAGAAACCCGGAGAAGCUCCUAAACUACUCAUAUAUUGGACAAGCAGCCUCCAGACUGGAACUUCAUCUAGAUUCAGUGGCAGUGGAUCUAAUAGUGAUUUCACUCUGACCAUCAGUGGAGUCCAGACUGAAGAUGCAGGACAUUAUUACUGUCAGAGUUAUCACAGUGGUCCAGUGUUCACACAGUGAUAAAGAGUCGUACAAAAACCUCCUUCAGUGAAAGAGGAACUACUGAUACAGAAACAGUUUCUCUGAAUGUUUCAUUAUAAAUUGACAUGGACACAAAGUUUUAGAUUUUGUUAUUUCACACUCAACACUACAUAUGAA